UACGAAGGGGGCUAGCGUUGCUCGGAAUCACUGGGCGUAAAGGGUGCGUAGGCGGGUCUUUAGGUCAGUGGUGAAAUCCUGGAGCUCAACUCCAGAACUGCCUUUGAUACUGAGGAUCUUGAGUUCGGGAGAGGUGAGUGGAACUGCGAGUGUAGAGGUGAAAUUCGUAGAUAUUCGCAAGAACACCAGUGGCGAAGGCGGCUCACUGGCCCGAUACUGACGCUGAGGCACGAAAGCGUGGGGAGCAAACAGG
rnacentral:rRNA from 1 species